UAUGUUAUUAAAAUUAACCUCAUCUGUGUCUUUUUAUUAAUAGAGGACAAGCCACAUAAUUUUUCUAUGGGACAGCUCUGCACUAGAAAGUCAGGCCCAUGAGGGCAAAAACGUCACCUGUUGUGGUCACCGCUGUCUCCCCAGUGCCCAGAACAUUACCCACCCACUGCCUGAGGUGAGGAUGCAGCUUCCUCUGUCUCUACACUGCCCAUGUCACCCAGGAAGGCACCUUGCACGCCGUGGCCCAUCCACAGGGUUGCAGACUGAUCGCAGGCGGUCCAGCUCCAGGCGCAGCUCGUCCAGCUCAGGCGCGACGUGGUGGCGGCUGACCAGAACCUCCAGGAUCUCCAGG